UACGUAGGGUCCAAGCAUUAUCCGGAUUGACUGGGUGUAAAGAGUUGCGUAGGUGGUUUGUUAAGUAGGUAGUGAAAUCUGGUGGCUCAACCAUUCAGACUGUUACCUAAACUGACAGACUCGAGAGCGUUAGGGGUAGCUGGAAUUUCUAGUGUAGGAGUGAAAUCCGUAGAUACUAGAAAGAACACCGAUAGCGUAGGCAGGCUACUGGGACGUUUCUGACACUAAGGCACGAAAGCGUGGGGAGCAA
rnacentral:rRNA from 1 species